GGGCCAGGGUUUCUAGUUUUGAGUCGGUUGAUCCACUUCCAUCUCUGACACGUGGAAACCGGAGGGGGGAAGGGAGGGGUUGCACUCCACAUCAUAUACGCGCGGGUCGGAGGGUACGGGCGCGGCCGGCCAAAGUCGCAGGCCCCAUGGUAGCCCACUUGUAGAUUAACCCGUUGGUUGGGUUAAAGGACUGUCUGUCUGUAGGGUUAGGGUUUAGGGUUAGGGUAAGAUAUGGUUUUUUGAGAGGGGUUAAGGUUAGGGUUAAGUUUAGGUAUGGGUUUUUGGGAUGGUUAAGGUUAGGGUUAGGGUUAGGGUAAGGUAUAGAAAAGGUUAAGUUUAGGUAGGUCUGUCAACUCAACUUAGGAUCAGGCAAAGCCCUUGAGUUGCGUCCCUUAUGCAGGUCCGGUCCUCGGUUGGUUGCCAUGUGUCCAUGUCGAGUGGUAUGGUCAUGAUGUCCAGGUCCGCUAUGUCAACGGAGGUGGAAAGCAUAGUGCAACCUAGGAGUUUUUACUCUCUUUCGGAUCCUUCUUCUUUAGUUCCAUGUUGUCUAUGCAUCCACUUCAGUGUUCGUCAGUCUUUGGUCCUGGAUGUUUUCAAUCAUGUGUAUGAUUGGGAGUUAUUCCCUUCCAGGAUCCUAAUUCCAAAUCAACCCAUGUCUAGUCGAAUCCAGCUGGUCUGUAUGGGUAUACUCGGCGUAGGAUCAGGCAAAACCAUCGAGUUGCGUACCUUGUGCAGGUCCGGACCUCAGUCGGUUGCCAUGUGUCCCUGUCAAGUGGUCAGUCUAUAACAGCCAGUGGUUUGGGCAGACAAAAACUCAGAAGGCGAGCCCUCUAUACGGUUGUCAUGCAUCCGCCCCUGGAGUCACGUCCUGUGUUUCGGUCAGUGUAUGGAGGGUUUAGAAACCGGCAAACCUUCUCUGGCUUACGUAUGAAACGUCCGGCAGUAGUAGAAGUUAAUUGGGUGUUUCCAUCCCCACCAUCUCAGUCGUGGGUAAUUCAGAGGUUUUGGGUAAUAGUGACCAGUGGAAUUACUCCCUUCCAGGAUCGUAACGUUUCCAGAGGUAUAUCAUCCCUAGACAGUGAAUUGGUUCGUAGUCCAAGUAAAAAAUGGUUCGGUUGUCCAGGCUAAGUGCGGCGGGGUAAGGGGUCCCCCAGUGGGAAAUUCCUCUGCGGGGUCCGAUACCUCGCCAGACAUUAUCUGGGCACCCCAGGGGUUAUUCGGCAGACGCGAUCCUCCAGCCGCAGCGCAUAACCCAAAAGCCCCUCUUUUGGGUAUCCCAACCCGCUAGGAGGAAACACGCGCUACUGAACCUACUGCCAAUCCAGAUCUAAUCUGGGGUAGAUAGUGGUCCAGCGCGUUACGUGAGUCUCCCGUGUGUAAGGGGGCUGGGAGGGUUGAGCCGAUGGGUCUGCCAACAGGCCCCAGAGGGGUCCCGAAGGAGUCCGGUCUACCAUUUCCUCCCUUCUUCUUGCUUGGUGUAUGGUUGGGCCUGAUUGCUUAGGGUCUGCUCGCUGCGGGGGAGUCGACAAAACCGUGCCCCCAGAGUAGUUGGAGAAAAAAGGUUCUCGUCCGUUGGGGGUGCUGGUGGGUGUCUCCAAAAAUAUUUUAGAAGGAUGGUAGGUUGGUGAAGGUUUUUUUUUUAUUUUUUUUAUUUUUUUUUUUAAAUUUGGUCUAUUUGUGUUCUAUUUUAUUGUUUCUUUUGGUCAAGGGUCCAUGGUCAUGGUAACCCUGAGUUCAAGAGACUUUGAAAAUGAAAUAAUAUAUAUAUUUAUGUACAUAUGUAUUGGUUUCUAGUUUUGAGUCGGUUGAUCCACUUCCAUCUCUGACACGUGGAAACCGGAGGGGGGAAGGGAGGGGUUGCACUCCACAUCAUAUACGCGCGGGAGGGUUAGGGUAAGGUAUAGAAAAGGUUAAGUUUAGGUAGGUCUGUCAACUCAACUUAGGAUCAGGCAAAGCCCUUGAGUUGCGUACCUUAUGCAGGUCCGGUCCUCGGUUGGUUGCCAUGUGUCCAUGUCGAGUGGUAUGGUCAUGAUGUCCAGGUCCGCUAUGUCAACGGAAGUGGAAAGCAUAGUGCAACCUAGGAGUUUACUUUCUUUCGGAUCCUUCUUUUUAGCUCCAUGUUGUCUAUGUAUUCACUUCAGUGUU
ensembl:lncRNA